rnacentral:misc_RNA from 1 species
AACCUAGCACACCUGCGGUGUGUACCUGCGGAAGGAUCAUUACAGAGUUGCAAAACUCCCUAAACCAUUGUGAACGUUACCUAAACCGUUGCUUCGGCGGGCGGCCCGGGUCCUUCCCGGCGCCCAUCGGCCCUCGCGGGCGCCCGCCGGAGGUAAACCAAACUAUUGCAUUGUAUGGCCUCUCUGAGUCUUCUGUACUGAAUAAGUCAAAACUUUUAGCAAUGGAUCUCAGAUCGGAAG